GUUAAGUCAGAUGUGAAAGCCCGGGGCGUUAACCUCGGAAUUGCAUUUGAAACUAGGCAGGCUAGAGUCUUGUAGAGGGGGGUAGGAAGUUUCAGGUGUAGCGGUGAAAUGCGUAGAGAUCUGAAGGAAUACCAGUGGCGAAGGCGGCCCCCUCGGACAAAGACUGACGCUCAGAUGCGAAAGCGUGGGGAGCAAACAGGAUUAGAUACCCUGGUAG
rnacentral:rRNA from 1 species